rnacentral:rRNA from 1 species
AGGACGAACGCUGGCGGCGUGCCUAACACAUGCAAGUCGAACGCGCUCCAUUCGGUAGCAAUACUGAUGAAGAGCGAGUGGCGAACGGGUGAGUAGCACGUGAGCAACCUGCCCCGAAGACCGGGACAACACCGGGAAACCGGUGCUAAUACCGGAUAUCCCUAUCGGACCGCAUGAUCUGAUAAGGAAAUGGAUUCCGCUUCGGGAGGGGCUCGCGGCCUAUCAGCUAGUUGGUGAGGUAACGGCCCACCAAGGCAUCGACGGGUAGCUGGUCUGAGAGGACGAUCAGCCACACUGGGACUGAGACACGGCCCAGACUCCUACGGGAGGCAGCAGUGGGGGAAUCUUGCGCAAUGGGCGAAAGCCUGACGCAGCAACGCCGCGUGGAGGACGAAGGCUUUCUGAGUUGUAAACUCCUUUCAGCAGGACGAUAGCGACGGUACCUGCAGAAGAGCACCGGCCAACUACGUGCCAGCAGCCGCGGUAAC